ACGGUACACGUUCCCACAAGGCCAAGGUGGUAAUCCAGCAAUCCCUGGUAGGUGAUGAAUGUUACAGCGUGGGAUGCGUGUACCGGCAUCAUGCCGCAAAUCAAUGUCGUUCGCCAAAAUUAAUGCCUGACACCGUACUUGCUACUGGGGCAGCACGGGUAGCCGUAAGCCCCCAUCCUCCCCGCACGGCCGCACGAAUGCAUCACACGACCCGACCUUUCCUCAUCUCCUCCAUGACCAACAGCAUGCCGUCUGCCCCACAGGCUAGUCACGAGGCACGACCUCACGUGCUCAAACCCCCCUACUAAGGUGCCGUAGGACUGGUACGGCACAAGACAUCUCACGGCGCAAAUAACCUCAAGUUCAGACGCAAUGCAGGUUGUGCUGGGGACUGCUCCCGUGCCGAGAUGGAGCAUUGGAGCGUGCGCCCUUGGACCACAUAAAUGUGUAUUAUCCCGACGUCCUCCCUUCCAACCAG
rnacentral:lncRNA from 1 species